rnacentral:lncRNA from 1 species
CGGGGAUAUGGAUAGCAACACCCAGGGGCUAUGGGUUUUGUAAAGACGUGCGUUAACCAAUCAAAAUCCUAGAUAUAUACUAAGCCGGGGAUAAUAACCUCUUUUAACCUUUGGUCUAAAUUCAGUUGAAGCUGAUAAAUCUAUACAAAAAGUUAACCUAAUUAACAUUUUUCUGUAUAAGGAAGAAGGAAAUAUGUGCUUUCACAUGAAGUGAGAAAUGAACUGAAUAUGUGUCUUCAUAGCUUGAUGUAUUGUGUGUGUGAAUAAAAAUAAACAAAUCAUUGUAAUUUAUUGCCUCAUUUACUUCCUUCAACUGCUCAAAUAUUUUGGCACAAAUGUAAUUGUAAAAUAUAACAUUAUUUGACUAUACAUGUACAUGAAGAAAUGAUAAUUAUGAUUAUUAACAACAUGAACUAUAGGUAAUGUUUAUAGCAUACAUGAAAAUACAGUUAAUACAAAUCUUAAAAGUGACAGAAUAUGAUAAUUACUAAUAAUGUCCUUACACACAGGGUAGUUAAUCUAAAACUCAAAAUGAAAUUUUAAUUUUGUGGAUGAAGAGGUGUAUUCUAACUUUUGGAUAGCAUUGAUAAACACAUGCUUUCACAUCUAAUGCUAUAAACAAGGAAUUAUUUGAAUCUGGAAUAAUUUGAAUUAUGGAAAAUUGAUAAGAAAUGCAUUAGAAAACUGGCCCAAGCAAUACAUGCAUGCUAAGGGGAGUUUAUUAGUUCAUACUAAAUAUCAGUGAAGUACAAUUAACCUUAGCCAUGGCUUAUACUCUUUUAUUUACUUGGGUUAGUUUUCAUAGUAAGAAUACUAACUCUGGUAUGGUACCUGUGGCUUAAUUAUAUGUUUAAGUCUUACAAAUAUUGAAUAAUUAUUUUGUACUUUCUAAUAGAGUUAUAGUAGAGGUAUUACAACAUACAAACAAUUUGAAUAAAGGAAGAUUGAGGUGAACAAUAUAAAACACUGACCUAACAUGACUAGGAUACCAAAAACAGAUCUACAGGUCAUUCAUUUUAUGGCUUUACUCAUAGAUAAUUGUACACAAAAACAAACUGCAAGUGCUAAAUCAUCCAGUUACCAAAGGUUUUACUUGGCAAAAGAUUCUGACUUAAUACAUGUAUAGGCAGAUGUACUGGGGUCAUAAACUAUUAUCAUGAUAUCAACCACAUCCUUAUUAUUUGAAUCUAAGAAAGAAAAAUCAAAGAGAAAAAUCAUGAUAAAAUAAAAUUAAAAAGUGUAAUUAUGUUUAUCACAUAUUUGUUACGAAUACGUUGGGUUUUGCAUAUGCAAUAACCUCAAAAUUGCCCGGGGCAAAAAAGACGAUAUGAUAUUGUGUCCUGAUUCCAAAUGACGUC